UAGGGAAUCUUCCACAAUGGACGCAAGUCUGAUGGAGCAACGCCGCGUGAGUGAAGAAGGUUUUCGGAUCGUAAAGCUCUAUUGUUGGUGAAGAAGGAUAGAGGCAGUAACUGGUCUUUAUUUGACGGUAAUCAACCAGAAAGUCACGGCUAACUACGUGCCAGCAGCCGCGGUAAUACGUAGGUGGCAAGCGUUGUCCGGAUUUAUUGGGCGUAAAGCGAGCGCAGGCGGAAUGAUAAGUCUAAUGUGAAAGCCCACGGCUCAACCGUGGAACUGCAUCGGAAACUGUCAUUCUGAGUGCAGAAGAGGAGAGUGGAAUUCCAUGUGUAGCGGUGGAAUGCGUAGAUAUAUGGAAGAACACCAGUGGCGAAGGCGGCUCUCUGGUCUGCAACUGACGCUGAGGCUCGAAAGCAUGGGUAGCGAACAGG
rnacentral:rRNA from 1 species